AAAUGAAUGUUAGAAGGGUCAAAUUUUUUACUAGACAAAAGAGGACUAAUUUAUAAAUCCUGUUACUAAUAUUAUAUUGUUAAUUAAGUAUAUGUGCAAUUGAAAGACGAUAUCUAAGAACACUAGCUAUGUGCAAAAUAUAAAGAUAGUAUAGAAUUCUUAUGUCAUAUAUAUGCACUUAAGGAUUACUGAGAUUCAACAUUGAA
rnacentral:misc_RNA from 1 species